AUCCAGCUGAUGAGUCCGAGAUAGUACGAAACACGCGUACUGGAU
rfam:Schistosoma rodhaini strain Burundi genome assembly, scaffold: SROB_scaffold0000103